CCGGGUUCGAGUCCCGGGCAACCCA
rnacentral:tRNA from 5 species